AUAUUAACAGAUGAAGAAAGGCUGUCGAUACAAUAAAGUGCGCUGUUCUGAUUUAUAUAUAUAUAUAUAUAGGAGCUUCGUAGUUUAGCUUAGGAAAAAACAACACUGGGUGAUUGUACACAUCCGCCGUGAAGAGUGGGCGACUUUUUACUUCAUUACAAACACUCCACAAAACAUUUGAAGAAUGUCCAAGGAAAAACUCCUCUACUAGCGACACAAGGCAUCAAUGUCCUGCAGAUAAUUUAAUCCAACUUCAAAUUUGGUUGGCACCUUAGACAAUUCUCACAUCAUCCGCCUUGGUCGGACUGGAAUCAAAGGUGUUAAAUGAGAAAGAUGAUGCCGUAACCUUCACUCCCGGUGCAUUAAAUUCCUGGAAGGCUAAAAUAAUUACAUUGAUAUCAGAGCUUCGUAAUAAGCCCUGUUUAAUUGUGCUCGUAGAAGUGAUAGAACCGAACGCAAGGAUAAACUUAUCUCUCAGAGACGAACAGGGGAAUCAUACUGAACACGAAAAUCUUCAGAUGUAAAAUAUUGGACUAUCUAAUGUGCAGAUUUUUGGAUGUAAUAAUACAACUUGACUUAGUUUGCCAACAUAAGACGAAUGGGAACGGAAUGUUGGAGAUUGUCAUGAUCAUUAAUGCGUUUGUGUGUGAUUACAUCAAUUUAGGCUCCUGGAUGUCAACGUUGUUCUCGCCAGGAUCUAAUGCUACCUCUACACGGGAAUAAGAGAGCCGCAUUUCUAUUAUAUUAAAACGUGCUCGUCCGAGCUGUAAUAUCGAGAGGUAAGUACCUCACUCUUUGUAGAAGUCUUCAAUGUUGUCCCGUGUUGAGAUGUUAAUGUUGGUCCCCCAACUGUUUAUCACCAUGGUGGCUGUCACGGAACUACCGAAACUUGACGUAAGACGACCGUCUCUGCAGAGGAAGGAAAAUCGUCGUAAACCCGUGCGUAAAAUUGUUCAGGAAGCUUUUCCAAUUAGAGGAACAAUUAAACAGUCGAUAUUAAAAAUUUCUGCUCUGUCAUUAGGCGGUCUGGUGCGUUAACAAAUCAUUAGUCUACAAACAAGAACUAAUUCAGUUUGAUGGAACAUUAACGUGAUGAUGAAAAUAUAUUGGGAAGAAAACUGAAGCGGUUUAAGAAAACUUGGGUUAAUGAUAAUGUCAUAACAAACAGGAACAGAUUCGAUUGUGUGAAGUACCAGUCAUUGAAUGAAGAGUUGAUGUUGCGGAUUGAACAUCUAUUUUGGCUUUCAAGUGAUACAGGAUAGAAGAUACGUUAAUCUAAUGAGAUACAUUGGGUGAAGUGGUUCCUUCUGGUACGAAAUACACUCCACGUCUCUCAGUAUUUUUAGGUGAAAGUUCCUAACUAGUAUAAAAUCUCGGAUUCCCUAUUUAUGGUCAGCUAAUGAUGUUGAUGACGGAAUGUCCAACGAUUCACUUAGCACAACUCCUAACUGCACCGCUGAGUUAGCAGACAAGGCUGGUCCGCCGCCCCAUUAUAUCCGGGAUACUCGUGUAGUGAUUGGGCUGUUGUUGUCCCUGUUUCCAGUGCUCACUUUGAUCGGCAAUGUACUGGUUAUCGUGGCCGUGUUUACCCACAAACGCUUACGGUCGAUUACAAACGUCUUCGUGGUUUCUCUCUCGGUUGCCGACGCUCUGGUAGCCAUCUUGGUGAUGCCGUUUGCGGUGUAUCUGCAAAUCAACAACAACGAGUGGAAUUUGGGGUCAACCGUCUGCACAAUCUAUACGUGCUUUGACGUCAUGUCCACUACUUCUUCCAUCAUGCAUUUGUCAUGUUUGGCUGUUGAUCGGUACUUGGCUAUCUGUCGACCAUUCCUUCACGAAAGACUCAACAACAAAAUAGUAGCAACCAUGGUUGCCUCUUGUUGGGUACUUCCGGCGAUUAUAGCCUAUAUUCCCAUUUUGGAGAAAUGGAAUCAUAUAGGGAUAGAGGACUACAUUUUCUGUUUAGGAGAUUCGGUGUGUCAGCUGAUUGUCAAUAUACCAUUCGCCAUCAUUUGUUCCACUAUAGCAUUCUACAUUCCGGCCGUGUUUAUGAUAAUAUCCAAUGUGAAGAUUUAUCUCGCAGCAAGUAAGCAAGCGCAUCAUAUUCGUAGUCUGGAAGCUUCGGUCCACUGCAAGCGCAGGAACAGUAAAUUCAAACACGAAACUAAAGCUGCGAAGACUAUAGGAAUUAUCAUGGGUUGUUUCUGUGUGUGCUGGUUUCCGUUCUUCAUUAUGAACAUUAUAGAUCCAAUUAUAGGACAUAAGAUAGAGUACAUACCAUGGACUAUAGCGUUGUGGUUAGGCUAUUUAAACUCUAUGUUGAAUCCAUUUUUGUAUUAUAAUUUCAAUAAGUCUUUCAAGAUGGCAUUUCGUCGUAUAUUAACAUGUAAAUUGUGCAGGGGUGUGAGCGAGUGGGAGGAUGAAAUGCCCGUCAGUCAAUCGGAAAUGAUGAUAAACAACCAGACGAUUCACCAUCUCGGUCAUACUCACACAGGCAACGGAUUUUCAACUUUACCAACAGAACUUUCGCAUCUCAAUGCCAAUACAAUAUGAAGCCACGUUUGAUAUUUAUGUGAUUGCAUACCGAGUCUCCACAUCUCGCGUUGGCGUAAGUGAUGAUGGGUGAGAAAGCAGUUCCCAAACGCAGUGCGCAUGAGCCGAAAAAAACGAGGGAAAAUGGCUCAUUGAGAAGUCUAUCCGUUUGUUCAUGAAAAACGGGUUAAAAGGCAGGCAUUGAGGACGGCUGGGGCAGAAAGGAUAUUUAUUUUCACAUUUAAUUGCCAAAAUUGGAGUAUUUGGACAUUGUUCAUUGUUGUCCAGUGCUAGACAAAAUCUAUUUUCCUACAGUCUUUUUAUAUUCUCAUCUUUUAAUCUGCUAGCUAUUUAUGUGUACUAUUUUACGAUUUAACGAUUGUUAACAGAAAAUUAAUUUGGUUUACUGAAUGAAAUUGAUUUGAUUGACUGAAUAAGAUGAUGACAUAGAUUUCCACCCGAGCUAACAUCAACGACUGUUAAAUUGUUUAUCUUUAGUCAGGUAUAUGUACCACUCAGUCAAUAUAUUUAUUUAUGUGACAGAUAACACGCUAUCCGUCCAGUUUCUAAUUUUGUCAAUGCUCGAUAAUUUAAGCUGCACUAAUCUCAGUAAAGACUUACCAAUUUUACUCUCCCGUUAACAUUUUAUUAUAUACAUGCAUGAUAUAGUAUUGGAUUCUAGCAAGCUUCGGUUUCAGGAAAGCUACCGUGCAUAAAGAUAUGUCUGCUUCCGGGAUCGUGAAUAUAAUCUUACAAAACAUUUUAUUGGUAUAUAAUUGAAUGAUUCGUAGCUUUUGGAUUGGCUGAAAUUCCAAAGUUGAAAAAUAGAACAUUAUAUUUACCUCCACAUGCAUUCAAGGUGACUAUAACAUUUGAUUUUUCGAAUAUCCCAAACUGAUAAGCUUGAUUAUUUUAUGGUCUUCCGAUGAAAAAUCGCGUCUCUAAUCAUUUGCACUCUAAAUGAAAACAAAAAUGGUCGACCAGGUAUCGUUUAUUCGUAAGCACUAGUAACUGGUUCCGAUAUUUUUUAUUGUUCCAUCAAUUGUGCAAUAUUCAUUAAGUCCGGAGUUAUAAUAUUGGACUGUCUGAUAGCGUUACAAUUUUAACACAAUUCUUUACUUGAGUCUAGGACGUUUCGUGAUCUUGGGGCCUGAUUUUCAUGUUGAAUGUAAAAGUCUUUGGAAUAUAGAAAAUAAAAAGAUAUUGAUGGUGUACAAAUUUUAACCAUUUUGAUUUCAGUAGCACUUGCAAGGAAGCUAUUUUAUACGAAUAUCAGAAACCAGGAUCAUGAAAAUCUUAGACUAAAGUCAAACUCUGUAUGCAUGUACUCUAUCGAAAUUGUAAUGAAAUCAAAACAGUCAAACUAAAGAUGUUUUGUAAGGUAUACACUAUUACUGCUGCUGAAUAGAAAUUUCAAAUUUUAAUUUAACAGUUGAUAAGCGUGUCACUGAUUACUAAAAUUUUAAGUCAAUUUCACGAUCCCUAGACUGGACUUCUAACUUAUGUCCUAUGUGGAUUAUAAAAAGGUCAAGUUUACUGGGAAUGAAAUUUCUUUGUGUAUAAGAUUUUAAACUGUAGUCUGUGUUCAAUAUCAAUGACACUUAUUGUGUAUAAGUACUGGUUUUCUAACCAUUUUCAAGGUAAAAAAAAAAUUAUGAAAGAGCAAGGUUGCUUUGUGUAAUUCCCAGCCUUGUGUACAAUAUUUGACCCCUAUAUUUCUUGAUCCAUUUUUUCAUCUGAUUAACUUGCAGCAAUGCUACUUGGCAUAAAGAGCUGGAUUCCUAUCGAUUUUUGAAGUUAUGUACAAGGUUAAAAUCGUUGAAGGAAACAUCAGAAAUAUUCACGUUACGAAUUAGAAAGAAUGUCCCUAUGUAGGGAUUUUUUUUUUUAUCAUCCGACAUAGUUCACAAUAUCGAAUGCAAUUGAUGAUCAAGAAUGAUGAUUGAUGAGAAUAACGGGAUUCAAAAAUAUACUGCUAUAAAAGUAAGUUUUAAAAUCGAUGGAGAUUAAAAUCCUAGAUGAGAAUUUUUCUGUUGUGGAGUAGUGUAUACAUUGUUCAAUAUAAUUUUCCAUGAGUUGGAAUUGUGAAGUCAUUCACUUGUUUCUUGCUGUUGGGAUCGAUGUUUGGAUAUCCCGUGAAAUUUGUACCAUAUAAUCUCCUUUUCGGAUUUUCAUUCAUUCCUUACAUGCAUAAUAAUGUGCAUAAAAUAUUGUCGCAAUAAAGCCAUGGUUUUUGGA